UAAGGAAUAUUGGUCAAUGGACGCAAGUCUGAACCAGCCAUGCCGCGUGAAGGAUGAAGGUCCUCUGGAUUGUAAACUUCUUUUAUCUGGGACGAAAACGGGAUUUUUAUCUCAAUUGACGGUACCAGAGGAAUAAGCACCGGCUAACUCCGUGCCAGCAGCCGCGGUAAUACGGAGGGUGCGAGCGUUAUCCGGAUUUACUGGGUUUAAAGGGUGCGUAGGUGGGCUUAUAAGUCAGUGGUGAAAUCUCCGAGCUUAACUUGGAUACUGCCGUUGAUACUAUAGGUCUUGAAUUAUCUGGAGGUAAGCGGAAUAUGUCAUGUAGCGGUGAAAUGCUUAGAUAUGACAUAGAACACCAAUUGCGAAGGCAGCUUACUACAUAUAAAUUGACGCUGAGGCACGAAAGCGUGGGGAUCAAACA
rnacentral:rRNA from 1 species